GUCCACGCCCUAAAUGAUGUCAACUGGUUGUUGGACGGCUUGCUGUUCAGUAACGAAGCUAACGCGUGAAGUUGACCGCCUGGGGAGUACGGCCGCAAGGUUGAAACUCAAAGGAAUUGACGGGGACCCCGCACAAGCGGUGGAUGAUGUGGUUUAAUUCGAUGCAACGCGAAAAACCUUACCUACCCUUGACAUGCCAGGAACUUGCCAGAGAUGGCUUGGUGCUCGAAAGAGAACCUGGACACAGGUGCUGCAUGGCCGUCGU
rnacentral:rRNA from 1 species